AAUAAAACCCACAGACAGAAUUUCAUAGUUAAUUUUCUCUCACCAAAAUCAAAAACCCAAAAUCUACCCUAAACCGAAACCCAUCUUCGAAACUUCAUUUGAAUGAUUUUUUUUCGACAAAAAGAAAUCAUCAUCAACAACAACGACAGGAACAAGUUUUUUCCCAUUAGAAACCCACCAUAGAAUUCCCCUCAUAAACAUAGAAUACAUCUGAUCUUUAGGACAUGUUCUUGUGUAAAUUCUAUUACUCGAUUUCGAAUCCGAUCUCAGAUUAGUGAUUAGUAUGCUGUAAUCUGCAUUACCCAUAAAAUGGUUAGGCAAAUCAUUUACAAAUUACAGUUUUUCAAUUUAAUGGUGGAAAUUGGAGUUCAUCCGAUUGUAACCGUAGAGAUCCAUUAAUCAGCUAGGACUGAGUUUUGGUUCGUUUGAAGGAUUUGGGUAUCCAUCAGCAGCUGAGUGAAUCACCAGUUUUGGGGCCAUCUGAGGUUCCUGAAUAGAAGCUAGAAUUCAAGCAUAGGCUUCCAAUAGCUCUUGGAGCAGCUAAAGGUGAUCCUCUGGAAAAUCAGAGAGCAUUGAUGGCUUCCCUGGUUUAGCCCACCUGCAUACUAUGAGUCCUCCUUUGGUACAUAAGAAUUUCAAAACAUGCAGAUGUUUUACAAUGCGACACCUCAAGCAUUAGAUGGAAAAUACGGUGUGCCGAAUUAUGCGGUUUCUCGUGUUACUUCGAAGGUAGUCGAAGCUCCAUCAUGAUCAAAUCUGCUGAUGGGAAGAUUUCUGAUACCCUCGUGAAUGGGGGUUUGGGUCAUCAUAAAGAUUCUAUUUCUGUAAACGGGAAGUUAGAGACAUUCAAGGACCUUAUCAUCUAGCCUUGCUCUGCAUGUCUUCUUUUUCAUUUAGUCCGGAGUUCAAAGUCAUCCGCAUAAAGAAGUAAUGAGAACAGAAGUCUGUAGAAUGCUGAGACUGAUUUCAACAAAUGUACCGAAAUCAUCUUUGAGUUGAAGAGGAAAAGAGGUGAAAGAAGAUGAUGGGAGGCGGGUCAAGUUUGUGAUGAUUCCCAAGAUUUUGUCAGCACAAUUGCAUUAAGCAUUUAGCUGGUUCUAUGAGAUUUUACUUUAGUUUAUUUUUUCUAGUUUCCCGCCAUUUUUAUUCUGACCAGUUCCAGAAGUGAAUUCCAAACCAAGAUGUGUGUAAUUAGUUCCUUUCUAUUUAUUUUGUUAUAUUUCCAUGGAGGGGUUCCUUUGCAAUAAU